UCCUUUUGGUUUAUCCUGAUUCGUCCUCCUUUCUGUUUCUCCUGACUCCUCCUCUUUUCUCUUUCUCCUGCCCCCCCCCAGCCGUCGGACUACAGCAGCUUCCUGGGUUCUGGUUCUCGGGCCUCCUCCAGGGCCAGCUCAGCUCGUGCCAGCCCCGUGGUGGAGGAGAGAACGGACCGGGACUUCCUGGACCGAGGCUCCAGGACCGCAUCCACGCUGUCAGCCGCCACUCUGGCCUCUCUGGCCGGGGCUUCAUCCCGCAGAGGAAGCUGCGACACGUCCGUUUCCCUGGAGACGGAGGCGUCACUCAGAGAGAUGAAGGACUCGCUGGUGGAGGCAGAGGAGCGGUACCGGCGAGCGAUGGUGUCCAACGCUCAGCUGCACAACGACAAGACCAUGCUGAUGUACCAGGUGGAGACGCUGCGGGAGGAGCUCAGCGACACCGAGGAGCUGCUGUGGGAGGCCCGACGGCACCGCGACGACACCAGCAAGGAGCUGGAAAGAGAGCGGCACUCUCACAGCGUUCUGAAGCUCCAGUUCAGGGACCUGGAGGACAUGCUGAGGCAGACCGAGGACCUGCUGACGGAAGUGUCGGAUUUGCGCCAGAAGAACAGUGCUCACUGUCAGGAGGUCUCUGACCUGCAGGAGGCGCUGCAGUGGAAGGAGAAGAAGAUCGGGGCGUUAGAACGGCAGAGAGAGGUUUCUGACAUCAUCCGGAUCGAGCGUGACCGGCUCAGAGGCGAGGUUGUUCAUCUGCGAGAUUCUCUGAAGAAACAUGGAGUGGAAUCUCUGGAUGCCAAGAAUGGAGAUGCUGUUGAGGGCGGGGCUGAGGAUGAUGUCAGCACAGAGUCUGGCGGGCAGCUGGAGGAGUGGGCUGACAGCGACAGAGAAGGCACUCUUGAACGCCACCUGAAGAAACUGUUUGAGGAAAGAGAACGUCUACGAGACCAGGUAAGGCUGCUGCAGUCCCAGCUAGACCAGAGGAACGCCGCGGUCCAGGAGGAGCGGUCUCUGGAGAACGGGCUGGAUUCCCACGUCCUGGAACUGCAGCGAGAGGCCAAUCGCCAAAUCAGUGAGCUGAAGUUCAAACUAGUGAAGGCGGAGCAGGAGGUCACGGCUCUAGAACAGAACGUGAUCCGCCUGGAUGGUCAGGUGACCCGAUAUAAGACGGCAUCUGAGGCUGCAGAGAAGAUAGAAGACAGUCUGAAGGUGGAAAAGAGGAAACUGCAGAGGGAGCUCCGCUCGGCUCUGGACCGCAUAGGUGAGCUGGAGGCCGCCAACAAACACCUGAGCAAGCGCCUGGAGAAAAUGAAGGCCAGUCGGACGGCUCUGCUGGCCCAGCAGUGACCCCGCAGUGGUCCGUGAGCCCCCGCCAGCAACGGAGCCGACCAACCGGCGGAUCCACGGUAGAGGACGGCUUUACCUGCAUCAGCAUCUGUGCCGGAACAAAGACUUUCAGAUGGGCUUCAUCCAGGACUUGAUGGACCACGAAGCAGCUGGAUCCUGGACCCAGGAAUCCUGGACCCAGGAUCCAGCUGCUCAUCCUCCUCAACCAGAACUCUGGAUCUCUGCUGUGCUUCACGUGUGCUUUGGUUUCCUCUCAGGAACAGCGACCUUCAGUCUGUGCUGCAGGAGAAAGCUGCUGGAACACCCUGACCUGGAUUGUAUGCAUGUGCGUGUGCACGUGUGUUUUGGGGGUUCGUUUGGAUCUGUGUCAAAAACCAAAACCUUUUGGUGUUCAAGGUUUUUGAUAAAUUAUUGUUACUCAACGGACUCAGCUGAAGUCAUGUGACUUCUUCACCUGAACACUGACGGUCGAACAGGAUGGUUUAGGUCUGACAGAACAUCACCCUUCUGUGAUCCGCUGCCCCCUACAGGCCAGACCGUCCUUCACUCUGGUCCAGGAACGAACACAUUCAGGCUGGAGCCGCUCCCCCCCCCCUCACACACACACACACUCUCCGCUCAAACGGGUCACAAGGUGACAGAACAAAACCAGAACCUGUGUCGUGAACUGGACCCUUUUCAUCAUCUGAGAUGUCAUUGAUUGUAGAUCAGAUAUAUAGUUAUCAGAGGUCAGCGGAUCCAAAACCAAACCCGGGACAGGUGAGACUGCUGCCCCGCCUACUAUAGCCAAGUGGGCGGGGCAGCAGUCUCACCACAGAACAAGGACAGACCUAUAGUAAAGAACUUUCUCAGAACUGUGUUUAGUUUCCAGCAAGCUGAUCAAUCUCAUUGAUUGGAACUCCAAGGAUCCACCCCGAUGUCAGUUCUUGAUGAUCAGAAGAUGUUCUGCUCCAGGAACCAUGGAGAAUCCAUGAAGGUUCCUGCUGGUUUUCUUUGGAACCUACAAUAAAAAACGCAUGUGUCUCUGAGGAACA
rnacentral:lncRNA from 1 species